rnacentral:rRNA from 1 species
GAUGAACGCUGGCGGCGUGCCUAAUACAUGCAAGUCGAGCGAACAGACGAGGAGCUUGCUCCUCUGACGUUAGCGGCGGACGGGUGAGUAACACGUGGAUAACCUACCUAUAAGACUGGGAUAACUUCGGGAAACCGGAGCUAAUACCGGAUAAUAUAUUGAACCGCAUGGUUCAAUAGUGAAAGACGGUUUUGCUGUCACUUAUAGAUGGAUCCGCGCCGCAUUAGCUAGUUGGUAAGGUAACGGCUUACCAAGGCAACGAUGCGUAGCCGACCUGAGAGGGUGAUAGGCCACACUGGAACUGAGACAAGGUCCAGACUCCUACGGGAGGCAGCAGUAGGGAAUCUUCCGCAAUGGGCGAAAGCUUGACGGAGCAACGCCGCGUGAGUGAUGAAGGUCUUCGGAUCGUAAAACUCUGUUAUUAGGGAAGAACAAAUGUGUAAGUAACUAUGCACGUCUUGACGGUACCUAAUCAGAAAGCCACGGCUAACUACGUG